AAGCACUGGGAGAGAGGAUGUGAUGACUGAGGUGAAGAUCCUCAUCUGGAAGGGCAUUAGUCUUGGGCAGAAAAGGAGAAAUAACCAGUUGGUUAGAGACAAGUCCUUUGAAUGGGUUAAUUUAUCGAGUCAGCAAGGUGGCCAGAUCUAAUUUGCUUUUUGCAAAAUUAGGUAGUUGUUAGAACUACUUGAGUUACCCAAGAGUGCCAAGAUCCUCUUUGUUUGUUGUUCAUUCUCUUUGUUAAGCCGUGGCAUCCUGCUCAUCAUCAGUGAGUAUAAGAAUGUGAAGAAGACCACCUGGGCAGGAGAAUCACAGAACAUCGUGAGCAGACAUUACAGACCCAGGAAGAUAAUACCGUAUGUAAAGGAAGAGUGGUGCUGUUUAUCUUCCAGAACAUAACAUUGAUGACCAUGUUGCAGAGUAGCAGUGUCAUGCAGCAAGACAGCCGUUGGACCCUUGUAAACUGGUUCCAGGGAUGCCGAGUUGCAAUUGAAAGCCACAGAUAAUCCUGGGUGAACUUUUCCACAAUCAUGGAGGAAAACAGAUGUCUGAAAAGAGAAAUCAGAAGAGGAAAUACAUGAGAUUUUAUUCUGAAAGUGCACCAGUUUAAGAUGUGAUUUGCCCAGCAACAAGCGACAUAGCAACUCCCAAGCCUCUAUUCAACACCUCUGUGAAUAAGCUUUCAGAUAUUUUAAUUCUUUUUUUAUUUUAAAUUCUUUUACCAUCACCCGAAUGUGUCCAUGUAAGAUUCUUUUGUUGUUUUAGGAUAAAAGGUUGUUGAGGAUAAUUUAUAUGCUAUGCGA
rnacentral:lncRNA from 1 species